rnacentral:rRNA from 1 species
GACGAACGCUGGCGGCGUGCUUAACACAUGCAAGUCGAACGAAGUGGCGAACGGGUGAGUAACGCGUAAUCAACCUGCCCUUCAGUGGGGCACAACAGUUGGAAACGUCUGCUAAUACCGCAUACUGAAGGAGGGGAUUGUGUCUGACUAGCUAGUGGGAGGGGUAACGGCCCACCAAGGCGAUGAUCAGGAGCCGGUCUGAGAGGAUGAACGGCCACAUUGGGACUGAGACACGGCCCAGACUCCUACGGGAGGCAGCAGUGGGGAAUCUUCCGCAAUGGACGAAAGUCUGACGGAGCAACGCCGCGUGAGUGAAGAAGGUUUUCGGAUCGUAAAGCUCUGUUGUAAGGGAAUCGGUAUCUUACCAGAAAGGGACGGCUAACUACGUGCCAGCAGCCGCGGUAAUAC